GCCGGGCGUGGUGGCGCAUGCCUGUAAUCCCAGCUACUCGGGAGGCUGACGUAGGAGAAUUGCUUGAACCUGGGAGGCGGAGGUUGCAGUGAGCCAAGAUGGCACCACUGGACUCCAGCCUGGGUGACAGAGCAAGACUCCGUCUU
rfam:Gorilla gorilla gorilla genomic chromosome, chr7, whole genome shotgun sequence